UGUUAUUGACAGAGCAGAACACUGUUGUGAUCUGGGAACCAGUCACAUUAUUCAUUUAUGAUAACCAGUCUAAUAGAAGCUGAUGUAGGGAACCAGCUAGCAGGAAACAGACAGACUUUGACUGACCACGACUGAGACCUGACGGACUUAUUACUUCUUGACGAUCAUCUUAUAUCCAUCAUCAUCCGAUACAUAGAUUCGACGCUAGUGCUCAUCUUUAUCAGAAUUAGUGCGUAUUUCAUGCAUAUUACAUUCCGACGUUAACCGGAAGUGACGUUUCAUUGACCGGAAGUGGCGUGUUCAUCGCCAUAAGUUGGGGAAUAUUCAGCUCUCCUAUACCUGAGGGCGCCAGUUGCUGACUUUUGACGGUGAAGAUGACAGAUUCCGAGUCUUUGGAAGGGAGCCCAAAAAGGUCAUGGAAAGAAACAGAACGGAUAAUUCCAAUUAAUCCCGAUGAUAUUGUACGGGAAAUGGAAACCUUAUGUUCUCGCAAAGUACAGAUGCCAUCUGCCAAAUUAUUGAUCUUUCAAUUAGGUUUGGUCAAGGACCAAGAAAAGAUUAAUAGGAUUGUUACAGAACAAUGUCAGAUUGCACAGAGUCGUAGAAAUUUUAAGUUCAUCCGUGAGGCCAAACGCUAUGCAGAUAAUAUUCUAACGACCGAAUGUUUAAAAUCAUUGGAAUCAAUUUGGGGAAAGAGUAACCAACCUAUUAAAAAGGGAAACUCCUGUUUAUCAACAGACACGGGUAAUGACGUUUUUUCUAGUAGGGAUAUUCGCUUUUUGGGAAAUACUGUUAAAAGUGAACCGGUGGACUCUUUCAGUGUUCACUCUAUUGUUACCCCAGAUGAAGUUAUCCCAAAUCUUUUGGGUGAUGAAGAUGAUAUGGCAAAUGGCUCACUA